GUUUAAAAAAAAAAAAAAAAAAACCAUUUUCACUCCAGAGAAUCAAAGCGAAAGCAAAACCAUCACGACCCUAUUUUCUCUUGACUGCUAAUUAUGGCUCCGAGCCCAACGCUCUCGACCCUUUCACUGAUGUUGAAACAAUGGCUUCUCCAACAAUUUUUGCCGACCGUAGUUUGUCUUAUCUUAUGAGUGACAAGCCUCAGGAAGCUCUCAACAAUGCAAUGCAAGCACAAGUAGUUUCCCAGUGUGGCACUUUGUAUCUUAUCUUUAGGCUGCUGCCCUUUUGGCCCCUUGGAAUGGACAGUGAAGCUCAAACAGCACUUGUUAUGAACUCUGUGUGAGAAUGUAUCGUUCUUAGGAUAUGUAAACACAAGUAAAUUUAUUCAUCUGGUGGUUGAUCAUUAUGUGCCAGGCCCUAGACCUGAUUCGAGGUAGAAAUCUUUAGAUGCUGACAGAUUCUUGCUUAGAAGGACACCUUUCUAGUGAUGAUGGUACUGAGUUGGCAUGCUUGGCUUCACAAUGUUUACAAUCUGAACCCUGAGAGCGACCAAAUCCAAGGUCAUUAGUUGCUUCUUUGACUCUUCUUCAGAAAGAAACUGAGGGUAAUUAACGACAAGGGUUUUCAGUGAUCGUAGUAGUUUAAUCAUAUAUAGAUGCUUAACAUGGGUAUCCCACAUGGUACCUCCUGGUCUUCUCUUUCACCAUCGGUGAAGCCUGUUCAAGAAGGGAUUUGACUACUAUACAUGAUAUCCUAGAGAAUAUCGGCUAUAAAGACGAUGGAAUGACAAAUGAGGUCCUAUUUUUGUUUAAUAAAUGGAGAAAUAUCUAAUAAGUUGUGUUGUAUAUAUUUAGCCUUCUCAAUAGUUAUGUUCCACUGCAGCUCUCAUUCCAAAUGUGCUCUAACCAAAUGCUGGAAUCAUUAGAUUCAAAGAAAAGGGGGGAUUCUGCUUUUAAGUACAAGGACUUCAAACCACAAUUGAGUGUUAUUCACAGUUCAUUGAUUUUGGAACAAUGGUUUCUCCAACAAUUUUUGCCCCGCGUAGUUUGUCUUAUCUCAUGAGCGACAAGCCUCAGGAAGCUAUAAACAACGCAAUGCAAGCACAAGAUGGCAAUCCCAGAAUAUCCACCUUUGCCUGAUGAAAAAUAGUAGGGAUGGGAAGAGUUAUAGUACAAAUCUGGCAUUUACUCCUCCUGAAUAUAUUAGGACUGGCCCUAGACCUGAUUCGAGACAGAUAUCUUCAGAUGCUGACAGAUUCUUGCUUGGAAGGACAGCUUUCUAAUGAUAAUGGUACUGGGUUGGCACGCUGGCUUCACGAUGUUUACAAUAUGAACCCCGAGAGCGACCAAAUCCAAAGUGCUUAGUUGCUUCUUUGACUCCUCUUCAGAAAGAAACUGAGUUCAUUGAUGUUGGAAUGAUGGUUUCUCCAACAAUUUUUGCCCGGCGUAGUUUGUCUUAUCUCAUAAGUGACAAGCCUCAGGAAGCUAUAAACGAUGCAAUGCAAGCACAAGUAGUUUCCCCACUUUGGCACAUUGCAUGUUAUCUUCAGACUGUUGCCCUUUCGGCCCUUGGAAUGGACAUUGAAGCUCAAGCAGCACUUAAGGAGGGUACUACGCUUGAAUCCAAAAGGAGUAAAGCAGUUGGACAAAAGUGAAAAUCUAGUCCGGUCGUCAAGGUGCCCAGUUUUCCACUUCUUUCGGUUUGGCUCUCAGCAUAUAUAGGCGUCGAUCGAUCAUAAGGUUUAAAACCACUGGAGCCAAAGCUUCAGCAUUUCCAUGGUAUUAGAUUGUGGUCAUUUUCCUGCAGUAUAUAUUGUAUUUGAUUUGAUUUCUUGUGUGUCAAUUCGUGUAUAUGAAUUCCUUCGAUAAAAUGGAAAAAAUAAAAUAAAAUAGAAAGUUGUCAAAAACAGUGGUAGGGAGGAAAUCGUUCAGAAGCUUUAUAAUUUGUGUACAGAAAGCAUAUAGGAUUCCUACUUGGAUAAAUAAAUAAAUAAUAAUAAUAA